UCUAAUAUAGCUUAAAACUAAAGCACUAACUUUGUAACUUAGAGAUGGGGAUUCCCUAUUAGA
rnacentral:tRNA from 1 species